UACGGGAGGCAGCAGUGGGGAAUAUUGCACAAUGGGCGCAAGCCUGAUGCAGCCAUGCCGCGUGUAUGAAAAAGGCCUUCGGGUUGUAAAGUACUUUCAGUCGUGAGGAAGGUGUUAAGGUUAAUAACCUUAGCAAUUGACGUUAGCGACAGAAGAAGCACCGGCUAACUCCGUGCCAGCAGCCGCGGUAAUACGGAGGGUGCGAGCGUUAAUCGGAAUUACUGGGCGUAAAGGGCACGCAGGCGGUUAAUUAAGUUGGAUGUGAAAUCCCCGGGCUUAACCUGGGAAUGGCAUUCAAGACUGGUUAGCUAGAGUCUUGUAGAGGGGGUUAGAAGUUCCAUGUGUAGCGGUGAAAUGCGUAGAGAUGUGGAGGAAUACCGGUGGCGAAGGCGGCCCCUGGACAAAGACUGACGCUCGAUGUGCGAAAGCGUGGGGAGCGAAAC
rnacentral:rRNA from 1 species